rnacentral:rRNA from 1 species
CUUCCGGAGCUAACGCGUUAAGUAGACCGCCUGGGGAGUACGGCCGCAAGGUUAAAACUCAAAUGAAUUGACGGGGGCCCGCACAAGCGGUGGAGCAUGUGGUUUAAUUCGAUGCAACGCGAAGAACCUUACCUGGUCUUGACAUCCACGGAAGUUUUCAGAGAUGAGAAUGUGCCUUCGGGAACYGUGAGACAGGUGCUGCAUGGCUGUCGUCAGCUCGUGUUGUGAAAUGUUGGGUUAAGUCCCGCAACGAGCGCAACCCUUAUCCUUUGUUGCCAGCGAUUAGGUCGGGAACUCAAAGGAGACUGCCAGUGAUAAACUGGAGGAAGGUGGGGAUGACGUCAAGUCAUCAUGGCCCUUACGACCAGGGCUACACACGUGCUACAAUGGCGCAUACAAAGAGAAGCGACCUCGCGAGAGCAAGCGGACCUCAUAAA